GCCUUCGUGGUGUAAUGGUUAACACACUCGGCGCGUAUGCGAGAGAUCCGAGGUUCGAGUCCCGGUGAAGGCA
rnacentral:tRNA from 1 species